CAAAGCCUUUGCUCUCCGGCUUCGAGAAAUGGUACCAACCCAAUCUCUGUUCCCCAUGAUCAGUAAUCCCUAGAUGCAUAUUUAAUCUUGACAGUUGUUCUUAUUUCAUCAAUUGUGUAAAUUUACCCCGUCAACUGAACAUCAUGUCCCUGUUGCAUUUUUGGAGCUUUAGCUGAUUAGAAAGUUUUACGCUUCAGGUUACUCUACUUGAGCAAAGGACCCGAACAGCUAAAAUCCAAGAAUAUCUGUAUCGGCACGUGGCAUCUAGCAGCAUACCAAAACAGCUUUACUGUCUUACCUUGAAACUUGCCAAUGAACACUCGACAAAUGCUGCUGCCAGAUUGCAGCUUCCAUCAGCUGAGUUUGUCCCAGCUCUCGUGGACAACUUGUAUUUUCACUUUGUCCUAGCUUCAGACAAUGUUUUAGCCGCUUCAGUGGUCGCAGCAUCGCUUGUCCACAAUUCACUCCAUCCCGAAAGGGUUGUCCUCCACAUUAUAACAGAAAAGAAGACUUAUUCUCCAAUGCAAGCGUGGUUCUCCUUGCACCCUCUAUCUCCAGCCAUAAUCGAGGUCAAGGCACUCCACCACUUUGACUGGUUUGCCAAGGGAAAAGUACCUGUGUUGGAAGCCAUGGAGAAAGAUCAGCGUGUUAGGUCACAGUUUAGAGGAGGGUCGUCAGCCAUUACAGCUAAUAACAGUGAGAAGCCUUAUGUGGUUGCAGCAAAGCUUCAAGCACUGAGUCCUAAAUACAAUUCCAUGAUGAAUCACAUAAGAAUACAUCUACCUGAGGUAUGAAGACCACAAGUCUUGGUUAUUUCUUCUGUAUGAUGCAAAUAAUUCUUAAUUCUACUUGUUCUUUGCAGCUGUUUCCAAGUCUAAAUAAGGUAGUUUUCCUGGACGAUGACAUUGUGAUCCAAACCGAUCUUUCCCCUCUUUGGGAUAUCGAUAUGAAUGGGAAGGUCAACGGAGCUGUUCAAACAUGUAAAGGGGAGGAUAAGUUCGUGAUGUCAAAACGAUUAAAGAGCUAUUUGAACUUCUCCCAUCCUCUCAUUAGGGAGCACUUUGAUCCUAACGAAUGUGCAUGGGCUUAUGGCAUGAACAUUUUCGAUCUAGAGGCUUGGAGAAAGAGUAAUAUAAGUCUUACUUACUAUCACUGGCUUGAACAGGUAAGCACCUCAAUAUCUAGAAUAUAAUCAGUGCUAUGCUUGUGUGGUUUAACCGAUCUACAGCAUAUUGAAUAUGGACAGGCACACUGUUCGCAUUUAAUACCUUGCUUACUACAUCAGAUACAUGAUAAUGACAGUUUGUAAUGAAGGAGGGGAUAAUAGAUGUUCUUGGACGUUUCUGUAUAACAAAGUGAAAGUAUAAUGCAGAUGUCUCUGCAACUCAUAGUGCCUUCAAUUUUCCCAUGCUCUCUUCUGAUAAUAACCUGAAAAUAUAAUGCAAAAUCUCUGCAACUCGUACUGACUUCAAUGUUCUUAUGCUCUCUUCUGGUGCAGAACUUGAAAUCCGAUCUAAGCUUGUGGCAGCUAGGAACAUUACCUCCCGGUCUAAUAGCAUUCCAUGGUCAUGUUCACAUAAUCGAUCCCUUUUGGCACAUGUUGGGGCUUGGAUACCAGGAAAACAUAAGUUUUGCAGACCCUAAGGAUGCAGGAGUCAUCCAUUUCAAUG
rnacentral:lncRNA from 1 species